rnacentral:rRNA from 1 species
UACGGGGGGGGCAAGCGUUGUUCGGAAUUACUGGGCGUAAAGCGCGCGUAGGCGGCUUUUCAAGUCGAGUGUGAAAGCCCCAGGCUUAACCUGGGAAUUGCGCUCGAUACUGUUGAGCUAGAGUGUGGAAGGGGCUACUGGAAUUCCGUGUGUAGCGGUGAAAUGCGUAGAUAUACGGAGGAACACCAGUGGCGAAGGCGGCGAUCUGGGAAGAUACUGACGCUGAGGUGCGAAAGCGUGGGGAGCAAACAGG